rnacentral:rRNA from 1 species
AUGGAGGAAAAUUCAGGGAUGGAAAGAGAGAAUGUUAUCAUGUGCAGGAAAGGAAAUCCUCAUAAAAGUGGUUGCACAAGCGAUCCCUAUUUAUGCUAUGGCAUGUUUCGACAUAAGUCCCUAUGUUAUCAGAUAAGCGCAAUGAUAUGCCGAUAUUGCUGGAGCCAAAUGGCCAAGGAAAACAAAAUUCAUUGGAUAAGUUGGGAGAAACUUGUCUUGCCGAAGAGGGAAGGUGGAUUAGGAUUUAGGGAUCUCCAUUGUUUCAACCUCGCGAUGUUAGCAAAACAGGCAUGGAGACUCAUUCAGAAUCCUGACUCAUUAUGUGCUCAAGUCUUAGCUGCAAAGUAUUUCCCCCACGGGCAAAUUCUGAAGGCAACAACUAUGAAGCGCAUGUCAUACUCCUGGCGAAGUAUCUUGAAGGGGGUCAAGGUGCUUAAUGAGGGUGUUAUUUGGCGAGUGGGAAAUGGUUUAAACAUAAACAUUUGGAAUGAUCCAUGGCUACCGCGAAGCUCAACGAGGAGGCCAAUCACAGUAAGAGGAAGAAACAUGUUACUAUACAAAGUAUCUGAACUCAUAAACCCUGUGACCGGAAGCUGGGAUGAAGAAUUAGUCUAUCAAACCUUCUGCAAUGAAGAUGCCAAUCUCAUUAUGCAGCUGCAAGUAAAUGAGUCAGCGGAUGGCAAUUUAGCUUGGCAUUAUAACAAGAAGGGCCUCUUCACAGUAAAGUCUGCAUACAAGGUGGCAAUGGACAGUGAAGCCAAACAUACAACUAGUGGGAUCCAAUCAGGCUCAAACAGUACAUCAAAUAAUAUCAGUUUUGAUUGGAUGAAAUUAUGGAAGAUCCCAUUACCAAGUAAGAUCCGACUUUUCCUAUGGAGAUUAGCACAUCACAGCCUGCCUUGGAGACAAAAGCUAAUUAAAAGAGGAAUGGAGAUUAGUUCUAAAUGCCCUGUUUGUUGCAGGUUGGAUGAGGAUGGGGGCCACUGUUUCCUCAAAUGCAAGCAAGUAAAGAAAAUAUGGAGGGCACUGCAAAUGGAAGACAUUAGGCUAUCUCUCGUAAUUUAUCCAAACCCCCAAGAUGUUUUAAUUGAAAUCUUUAAACAAAAAGAAGAGGUAGCUACAAAAAUCUGUAUUAUGAUGUGGUUGUGGUGGCAUGAACGUAAUAAAGCAAAUAGAGGUGAACAAAUUAGAAACUGUGAGGAGGUAGUAAGCUCAAUAGUAUUACAUCAUAGUGAGUUUAUGCAGAUGGUAAAGAAAGACAUGUACACAGGAAAAACCACAACAUCACGGCAAAAAUGGACUCCACCGCCAUCAAGUUACCUGAAAAUAAAUGUUGAUGGAGCUUUCAAGGAAGAAGAUCAUACAGGAGGCUGGGGCUACAUCAUUCGCAAUCCAGAGGGACUUGCAGAGGCAGCAGGAGCAGGGAGGUUGAGCCAUAUCAUGGAUGCUCUCCAAGCAGAAAGCCUAGCCCUCAUCGGAGCAAUUGAAAGAGCAAGUGAUUUGGGGUGUCAAAAUGUCAUUUUUGAAACUGAUUCCCGUGUGCUGCAACAAGCAAUCUCUACUGAAGAGUAUGAUGCUUCCUUGUGUGGUGCUCUAUUCAUGAAGGCAAGAAGACUUUUAUGGUUGUACUUUAAUGAUGUAAAAAUUGUGUGGGUUCCAAGAGUCUGUAACUAUGUAGCCCAUGUUUUAGCGUCUCAUGGCGCUGGUUUGGAGUCGGGAGACCAAGUUCACUGGCUUUGCGAUGUCCCAGACUUUGUAAAUUCUGCAGUUGCCAGCGAUUUAGCUGGCCUGCCUGAGUAA